UGACCAGACUCCUACGGGAGGCAGCAGUGAGGAAUAUUGGUCAAUGGGCGGGAGCCUGAACCAGCCAAGUCGCGUGAGGGAAGAAGGUACUGAGUAUUGUAAACCUCUUUUGCCAGGGGACAAAGGCGGCCACGGGUGGCCGUAGGAGGGUACCUGGAGAAAAAGCAUCGGCUAACUCCGUGCCAGCAGCCGCGGUAAUACGGAGGAUGCGAGCGUUAUCCGGAUUUAUUGGGUUUAAAGGGUGCGUAGGUUGUUUUUUAAGUCAGCGGUGAAAGUUUGUGGCUCAACCAUAAAAUUGCCGUUGAAACUGGAAGACUUGAGUGUGUUUGAGGUAGGCGGAAUGCGUGGUGUAGCGGUGAAAUGCAUAGAUAUCACGCAGAACUCCGAUUGCGAAGGCAGCUUACUAAGCCAUAACUGACACUGAAGCACGAAAGCGUGGGGAUCAAACAGGAUUAGAUACCCCAGUAGU
rnacentral:rRNA from 1 species